GAUCAUACAGUUCUAAAGAGAUAGCUACUCCAAUCUUGGCAGUAGCAAAAUGUAAGUGACUAUAAUGUAGGUUCAAGUUCUAAACCACAAUCUCAUGUUUAAUUCUGUUUCAGAUCUACCACUGCUAAAAUAUUUUAAGCAGUCAAAAAUACAUUUGACAAACUUCUCAAUAGCAUUAGUUUUUUCCUCCUUAUUUGCUUAUUUUCAUAAUGCAAUUACAUCAGCAUAAGCUAAAGUCCUGUCACCUUAAUUACCUGACUCUUUUAUGGCUAGUUACUUGUGAGAGGUUUAUGUCCACUCACUUCGAUAGGUGUGUACUUCAGACAGAAAUAUGGGAGUCUUUAGUGUACAGAGGACUGUUAACCAUGACACUGGCUGAAAUGACUGUGGAAUAGAGCAAAGAAGAGGAGAGUACCUGAGCCAGGAAACUUU
rnacentral:lncRNA from 1 species